GACGAACGCUGGCGGCGUGCUUAACACAUGCAAGUCGAACGGUAAGGCCCUUCGGGGUACACGAGUGGCGAACGGGUGAGUAACACGUGGGUGAUCUGCCCUGCACUUCGGGAUAAGCGUGGGAAACUGGGUCGAAUACCGGAUAGGACGACCGCCUGCAUGGGUGGUGGUGGAAAGCUUUUGCGGUGUGGGAUGGGCCCGCGGCCUAUCAGCUUGUUGGUGGGGUGAUGGCCUACCAAGGCGACGACGGGUAGCCGGCCUGAGAGGGUGACCGGCCACACUGGGACUGAGAUACGGCCCAGACUCCUACGGGAGGCAGCAGUGGGGAAUAUUGCACAAUGGGCGCAAGCCUGAUGCAGCGACGCCGCGUGAGGGAUGACGGCCUUCGGGUUGUAAACCUCUUUCAGCACCGACGAAGCGCAAGUGACGGUAGGUGCAGAAGAAGGACCGGCCAACUACGUGCCAGCCGCCGCCGUAA
rnacentral:rRNA from 1 species